rnacentral:lncRNA from 1 species
GUUGCUCCAUUUUACAAGAUAUUAAAGGAAAAAAAGAAGGGAAACAUUUCGUCUUGACUUGUGAAGGGCAAACGUUUGUCAUAGUCAACAUUUUGCUUAAUCCUAGGAACAAUUUGUUCUUGUGGUUUUGGGAGAAUAACAGGUUUCAAUGAAAAAUAAUUUUCCAACUUAUUUCACAGGUCAAAAUUGGUCUUCGAGUUCUCACUCGUCCUGUUCCGGACCAACUACCCACUGUUUACCGAACACUUGGUGAGAACUAUAAUGAAAGGGUCCUCCCUUCCAUUAUUCACGAGACUUUGAAAGCUGUGGUUGCUCAGUACAACGCAAGCCAGCUCAUCACCCAGAGAGAGGUAUUUGCAAGCAAUGAAAGGGUCCUCCCUUCCAUUAUUCAUGAGACUUUGAAAGCUGUGGUUGCUCAGUACAACGCAAGCCAGCUCAUCACCCAGAGAGAG